rnacentral:rRNA from 1 species
CCUACGGGUGGCAGCAGUGGGGAAUAUUGGGCAAUGGGCGCAAGCCUGACCCAGCAACGCCGCGUGAAGGAAGAAGGCUUUCGGGUUUUAAACCUCUUUUAAGAGGGGAGAGCAGAAGACGGUACCUCUUGAAUAAGCCACGGCUAACUACGUGCCAGCAGCCGCGGUAAUACGUAGGUGGCAAGCGUUGUCCGGAUUUACUGGGUGUAACGGGCGUGCAGCCGGGAAGGCAAGUCAGAUGUGAAAUCCCGGGGCUCAACCGCGGAACUGCAUUUGAAACUGUUUGUCUUGAGUACCGGAGAGGUCAGCGGAAUUCGCUGUGUAGCGGUGAAAUGCGUAGAUAUAGGGAAGAACACCAGUGGCGAAGGCGGAUGACUGGACGGCAACUGACGGUGAGGCGCGAAAGCGUGGGGAGCAAACAGGAUUAGAUACCCGAGUAGUC